UACAGAGGGUGCGAGCGUUAAUCGGAAUUACUGGGCGUAAAGCGCACGUAGGUGGCGACGUAAGUCGGGUGUGAAAGCCCCGGGCUCAACCUGGGAACUGCAUCUGUGACUGCAUCGCUGGAGUGCGGCAGAGGGGGAUGGAAUUCCGCGUGUAGCAGUGAAAUGCGUAGAUAUGCGGAGGAACACCGAUGGCGAAGGCAAUCCCCUGGGCCUGCACUGACGCUCAUGCACGAAAGCGUGGGGAGCAAACAGG
rnacentral:rRNA from 1 species